rnacentral:lncRNA from 1 species
AAAAAACCCUGUUUAUUCAGAUCUCCUGUCUCCUUUCCAGAACCUCAUUAUCAGCAAGUCGACAUUCAACAAGGCCGAGCUGACCUCUCCAUCACACUUAUAACUACCCUAGGGUUCAGAUCUUGCUUCCAGUUGAGAAUGCUGACCCAGCUAUUGAUGGACUGGCCCACUGCAGAAGAAAGUUCUGAACUUGAGACAGUUGUUUCUCCAGCAGCUGAACUGAGCAAAGCAAUUCAGAUAAGACUUGAUUGGCACCUGGUUUUGUUAGAGCAUGCAGGGAACAGGCUCCAUAGAGAAUGGAUGAUCAAAUACAUACAUGGAUUUGUAUUGCAUGUGUGGAUUUGCAUGCCAGACUCUUGUCACCAAGAACAGGUGCUGUCCAGCUUAAGCACCACACCCAUGAAAUGGAUGGCAAAGUCCAAGUUUCACCUGUAACUUAUUUCCUCCUUGAUACUGAUAGACUAGGCUCAUGCUUUUUUUCAUUUCCAUCUCCAAUAUCUGUCCUAUAGUCUCACUGUGGAGCACUAGCUGCAGUGAGUUAUGGGAUGUAUGAUUUGUUUAUUGCAUGCAAUUUCUG